rnacentral:rRNA from 1 species
AGAAUCAACGCUGGCGGCGUGCCUAACACAUGCAAGUCGAACGAGAAAGUGGAGCAAUCCAUGAGUAAAGUGGCGCACGGGUGAGUAACACGUGACUAACCUACCCUUGAGUGGGGAUAACCUAGGGAAACCUGGGCUAAUACCGCAUAAUACCUUCGGGUCAAAGGAGCAAUUCGCUUAAGGAGGGGUCGCGGCCGAUUAGUUAGUUGGCGGGGUAAUGGCCCACCAAGACUAUGAUCGGUAU